ACUCCUACGGGGAGGCAGCAGGUGGGAAUAUUGCACAUGGGCAGCCAAGCCUGAUGCAGCCAUGCCGCGUGUGUGAAGAAGGGCCUUCGGGUUGAUAAAGCACUUUCAGUUGUGAGGAAGGUGGUGUCGUUAAUAGCGGCAUCAUUUGACGUUAGCAACAGAAGAAGCACCGGCUAACUCCGUGCCAGCAGCCGCGGUAAUACGGAGGGUGCGAGCGUUAAUCGGAAUUACUGGGCGUAAAGCGCAUGCAGGUGGUUUGUUAAGUCAGAUGUGAAAGCCCGGGGCUCAACCUCGGAACUGCAUUUGAAACUGGCAGACUAGAGUACUGUAGAGGGGGUAGAAUUUCAGGUGUAGCGGUGAAAUGCGUAGAGAUCUGAAGGAAUACCGGUGGCGAAGGCGGCCCCCUGGACAGAUACUGACACUCAGAUGCGAAAGCGUGGGGAGCAAACAGGAUUAGAUACCCUGGUAGGCUCU
rnacentral:rRNA from 1 species